rnacentral:lncRNA from 1 species
GCCAGCCCUGAGAUAACCUCCCCUCUGGCCAGAGACAUUCCAACCCCCGCAAUAAACUUCUCCUCCACACAGAAACAUUCCAAGCCUGUGGGUGCAGCACCUCGCCCUGCUCUCGCUUCUUCCUUCUCCAGCCAUGUACGACAUGCCUGCUUCCCCUUUGCCUUCUGCCAUGAUUAUGUUUCCUGAGGCCUCCCCAGCCAUGCUUCCUGUACAGCCUGCAUAACUCAUAUUGAAGAGUAUCAUGAUGAAGAUUUUAUUGUACCUCUGUUCUUAAUUCUGAAAAUAAAUUCUUAAUAGUAACAUUUCUGGGUCAAAGCAUAUGUACAUUUGAUAAUUUAAUUAUGUGUAUUGCAAUUUCAAGGAUCAUCACUAAAAUAAAAGGAAUAAAAUAUAUAAAUUCUGCACAAGAAAAGGAAAAUGAGAUGAUUAAAAUAAUCAGCAUAAAAGUUAAAAAAUAAGAGAAAAGCAGGCUAGAAUAUGUAUAUCAACAAAUACCAAGAGGCAGAUGUAAGUCUAAAUAUAUUAAAACUUACAUUGAAUAUGAAAGGCCUAAAUUCUCCAGUUAAAUGACAAUAUUAGCAGAUUAAAAAAAAAAACUAAAUGUAUGAUACUUAUGUAAGUCAUUUAAAAUAGAAUGGUUGAAAGUAAAAACACAGAAGAAUAUAUACCAUGUAAACCCUAAUAAAAUAAUGCUACUGCAAAUAUUUUAAUACAAAAAAUUUAAAUUUAAAAAACUAGAUAUAAAAGGAUUACUCUUUAAUUAUAAAAGGUUCCAUAUGUCACAUAGCCAUACAAUUUUACCUGUGUAUGCUGCUUAAUAGCAUUGCCUAAAAUACUUACAAAAGAAAAUAAUUAUACAAAAUUAUACUACCUUUCUCAGGAAGUGUUAGGAGAGGCAACAACAACAGCAUCAAUAGACAUUCGUUGAUCAACCUAAGUAACAAAAUUGGUCUAAUGGAAGACCAAGAUCCCUGUAUUUAACAUUUAUAAAUAGGCAUUUUUUCAAUAUACACAGAUUAUUUACAACUAUUGAUAAUAUAGUGGCCAUAAAGGAUAUCUCCAUUAAUUUUAAUGAACAGAUUUCAUUAUAAAAUAUAUCCUCUGAUCACAAUUCAACUAAGCUAAUACAAAUAGAUAACUAAAAAUAUCCCAGUAUAUUUGAGAAUUAAGAAAUAAAUAUUUUAUUACUUUUAAAAAGCACCUUGUAAUAAAAUUGAUUUUUUCCUCCUGUGGCAUCACAGUUUUUUGUUUAAUACAUGUGUGUACCAUCAUAUUUAAAUACAAAACAAUUUAAUCUCCCUCCAAAGUCCCCCUGUUCCAUCUCUCAUAACUCCUGACAACCACUGACUGCUUCUGAGUUCCUAUAGAUUUGGCUCUUCAAGAAUGACAUAUAAAUGGAAUCACAUAGUAUGUAACGUCUUGAGAUUGACUUCUUUUACACAGCAUAAUGCUUUUAAGAUUCAUCCAAAGUCUUGUGUAUUUCAAAAGCACAUUUCUUUUCCUUGCUGAAUAGUAUUCUAUUGUAUGAAUACACAAGCCACAAUUUGUUUAUCUGCCCUUCGAGGACAUUUUAAUUAUUUCUAGUUUUUGGCAAUUAUGAAUAGUGGACAUUUGUAUAGAGGUUGUUUUGUAAACAUAAUUUUUCAACUCUUAGGGUAGAUAUCCAGAAGAUGGAAUGCUGUGUCAUAUGGUAAUUAUAUGUUUGCCAGUCUAGGAAAUUAGAAAACCUUUCCAGAAAGAUUGUACCAUUUUGCAUUCCUAUCAGCAAUAUUUUGAGAGCUACAAUUGUUCUGCAUCUUUGAUAGCACUUUAUAUUUUUAGUAUUUUUUUUUAAUGUAAGCCAUUCUAAUGGUUGUACAAUGGAAUCUCAUCAUGGUUUCAUUUUACAUUUAUCUAAUGGCUAUUAAUGUUGAAUGCCUUCUUUGUUAUCCUUAUUUCUUCUUUGCUGAAGUAGUUGCUCAUGUCUUUUGCUAAUUUUUAAAUUGGAUUGUGUAUUUGGAUUGUGUAUUUUCUUAUUGUUGAGUUUUGAAUGUUCUUUCUAUAAAGUAAAUUUCAAUUCUUUGUGCAUAAGUAAAAUAAAAAUAUUUUCUCUCAUUC